rnacentral:rRNA from 1 species
UACAGAGGGUGCGAGCGUUUGUCCGGAAUCACUGGGCGUAAAGGGCGCGUAGGUGGCGGCCCAAGUCCAUGGUGAAAGCUCGAUGCUCAACAUCGAGUCGGCCACGGAUACUGGGUUGCUCGAGCACUGUAGGGGCAGAUGGAAUUCCGGGUGUAGCGGUGGAAUGCGUAGAGAUCCGGAAGAACACCGGUGGCGAAGGCGGUCUGCUGGGCGAGUUGCUGACACUGAGGCGCGACAGCGUGGGGAGCGAACGAGG